rnacentral:rRNA from 1 species
AUUGAACGCUGGCGGCAGGCCUAACACAUGCAAGUCGAACGAGUGGCGGACGGGUGAGUAAUGUCUGGGAAACUGCCUGAUGGAGGGGGAUAACUACUGGAAACGGUAGCUAAUACCGCAUACCAUCGGAUGUGCCCAGAUGGGAUUAGCUAGUAGGUGGGGGAAAGGCUCACCGAGGCGACGAUCCCUAGCUGGUCUGAGAGGAUGACCCGCCACUCUGGAACGUAGACACUGUCCAGACUCCUACGUGAGGCAGCAGUGUGGAAUAUUUCACAAGGGGCGCAAGCCUGAUGCAGCAAUGCCGCGUGUAUGAAGAAGGCCUUCGGGUUGUAAAGUACUUUCAGCGGGGAGGCGUUACCCGCAGAAGAAGCACCGGCUAACUCCGUGCCAGCAGCCGCGGUAAUAC